rnacentral:rRNA from 1 species
CCCGUGAACCUUUACUAUAGCUUGACACUGAACACUGGUCCUUGAUGUGUAGGAUAGGUGGGAGGCUUUGAAGCGUGGACGCCAGUCUGCGUGGAGCCAACCUUGAAAUACCACCCUUUAAUGGCUGGUGUUCUAACGUAGACCCGUGAUCCGGGUUGCGGACAGUGUCUGGUGGGUAGUUUGACUGGGGCGGUCUCCUCCCAAAGAGUAACGGAGGAGCACGAAGGUUGGCUAAUCCUGGUCGGAC